AAGUCGUAACAAGGUUUCCGUAGGUGAACCUGCGGAAGGAUCAUUACUAGAGCCACGGAUCAGACAGCGCCCCGCGGAGCUCGCUCCCCGGGGGCUACCCCGCCCCGGCGGUGGUUUAGAGUCGCAAGGCCUCUCGGAGAAGCCUUGAUCCGGAACUCCACCCUUGAAUACAUUACCCCUGUUGCUUUGGCGGGCCGCCCCGUGCCAGCGGCCUCGGCUGCUGAGCGCCCGCCAGAGACCCCCAACUCUAUGUUUUAGUAGCGUCCGAGUACUAUUUAAUAGUUAAAACUUUCAACAACGGAUCUCUUGGUUCUG
rnacentral:misc_RNA from 1 species